rnacentral:misc_RNA from 1 species
GAUGAAGAACGCAGCGAAAUGCGAUAAGUAGUGUGAAUUGCAGAAUUCAGUGAAUCAUCGAAUCUUUGAACGCACAUUGCGCCCCUUGGUAUUCCAUGGGGCAUGCCUGUUCGAGCGUCCUUUGUACCUUCAAGCUCUGCUUGGUGUUGGGUGUUUGUCUCGCCUCUGCGUGUAGACUCGCCUCAAAACAAUUGGCAGCCGGCGUAUUGAUUUCGGAGCGCAGUACAUCUCGCGCUUUGCACUCAUAACGACGACGUCCAAAAGUACAUUUUUACACUCUUGACCUCGGAUCAGGUAGGGAUACCCGCUGAACUUAAGCAUAUCAAUAAGCGGAGGA